rnacentral:rRNA from 1 species
AGAGUUUGAUCAUGGCUCAGAUUGAACGCUGGCGGCAGGCCUAACACAUGCAAGUCGAGCGGUAGCACAGAGAGCUUGCUCUCGGGUGACGAGCGGCGGACGGGUGAGUAAUGUCUGGGAAACUGCCUGAUGGAGGGGGAUAACUACUGGAAACGGUAGCUAAUACCGCAUAAUGUCGCAAGACCAAAGUGGGGGACCUUCGGGCCUCAUGCCAUCAGAUGUGCCCAGAUGGGAUUAGCUAGUAGGUGGGGUAACGGCUCACCUAGGCGACGAUCCCUAGCUGGUCUGAGAGGAUGACCAGCCACACUGGAACUGAGACACGGUCCAGACUCCUACGGGAGGCAGCAGUGGGGAAUUUUGCACAAUGGGCGCAAGCCUGAUGCAGCCAUGCCGCGUGUGUGAAGAAGGCCUUCGGGUUGUAAAGCACUUUCAGCGGGGAGGAAGGCGAUAAGGUUAAUAACCUUGUCGAUUGACGUUACCCGCAGAAGAAGCACCGGCUAACUCCGUGCCAGCAGCCGCGGUAAUACGGAGGGUGCAAGCGUUAAUCGGAAUUACUGGGCGUAAAGCGCACGCAGGCGGUCUGUCAAGUCGGAUGUGAAAUCCCCGGGCUUAACCUGGGAACUGCAUUCGAAACUGGCAGGCUAGAGUCUUGUAGAGGGGGGUAGAAUUCCAGGUGUAGCGGUGAAAUGCGUAGAGAUCUGGAGGAAUACCGGUGGCGAAGGCGGCCCCCUGGACAAAGACUGACGCUCAGGUGCGAAAGCGUGGGGAGCAAACAGGAUUAGAUACCCUGGUAGUCCACGCCGUAAACGAUGUCGAUUUGGAGGUUGUGCCCUUGAGGCGUGGCUUCCGGAGCUAACGCGUUAAAUCGACCGCCUGGGGAGUACGGCCGCAAGGUUAAAACUCAAAUGAAUUGACGGGGGCCCGCACAAGCGGUGGAGCAUGUGGUUUAAUUCGAUGCAACGCGAAGAACCUUACCUGGUCUUGACAUCCACAGAACUUUCCAGAGAUGGAUUGGUGCCUUCGGGAACUGUGAGACAGGUGCUGCAUGGCUGUCGUCAGCUCGUGUUGUGAAAUGUUGGGUUAAGUCCCGCAACGAGCGCAACCCUUAUCCUUUGUUGCCAGCGGUUCGGCCGGGAACUCAAAGGAGACUGCCAGUGAUAAACUGGAGGAAGGUGGGGAUGACGUCAAGUCAUCAUGGCCCUUACGACCAGGGCUACACACGUGCUACAAUGGCAUAUACAAAGAGAAGCGACCUCGCGAGAGCAAGCGGACCUCAUAAAGUAUGUCGUAGUCCGGAUUGGAGUCUGCAACUCGACUCCAUGAAGUCGGAAUCGCUAGUAAUCGUAGAUCAGAAUGCUACGGUGAAUACGUUCCCGGGCCUUGUACACACCGCCCGUCACACCAUGGGAGUGGGUUGCAAAAGAAGUAGGUAGCUUAACCUUCGGGAGGGCGCUUACCACUUUGUGAUUCAUGACUGGGGUGAAGUCGUAACAAGGUAACCGUAGGGGAACCUGCGGUUGGAUCACCU